rnacentral:rRNA from 1 species
GAUGAACGCUGGCGGCGUGCCUAAUACAUGCAAGUCGAGCGAACAGACGAGGAGCUUGCUCCUCUGACGUUAGCGGCGGACGGGUGAGUAACACGUGGAUAACCUACCUAUAAGACUGGGAUAACUUCGGGAAACCGGAGCUAAUACCGGAUAAUAUAUUGAACCGCAUGGUUCAAUAGUGAAAGACGGUUUUGCUGUCACUUAUAGAUGUAUCCGCGCCGCAUUAGCUAGUUGGUAAGGUAACGGCUUACCAAGGCAACGAUGCGUAGCCGACCUGAGAGGGUGAUCGGCCACACUGGAACUGAGACACGGUCCAGACUCCUACGGGAGGCAGCAGUAGGGAAUCUUCCGCAAUGGGCGAAAGCCUGACGGAGCAACGCCGCGUGAGUGAAGAAGGUCUUCGGAUCGUAAAACUCUGUUAUUAGGGAAGAACAAAUGUGUAAGUAACUAUGCACGUCUUGACGGUACCUAAUCAGAAAGCCACGGCUAACUACGUG